AAGAGGUAUUAGUAAAAUAUUAUAUAACUUUGUCAAAGUUAAGUUGCAGACUAAAAUCUGCAUAUCUCA
rnacentral:tRNA from 1 species